rnacentral:tRNA from 1 species
GCGCGUGUGGCUCAGCGGCGAGAGCAUCCCGGUCACAUCGGGGAGAUCCCAGGUUCGAGUCCUGGUACGCGCA